CUAUGAUACUUGCGUCCGCAGGACACACACGUAAUUUCAAAUUGCGACAACGCAUAUAGUCGACCGCGGCAGAGGUAACGUGGAUAUGUUUUAACUGAAGGGGCCAUCUUUAUUAGCUAUUAUUACAUCUUCAACAGAAAGCAGGACUUGCGAACAGAUGCUGUGUGCAUUUGUAUGUUCUGAAGGGCCCUACAGCCCUUCAUUCUGGGACAAGCGCAGACUUAACGAAACCUUACGUUUGGAGUAUUUGUACAGUCAUAAGUAAUUAAAACAAUCCCUGGCAUGGCGAUAUUACAAGGCUUUUGCAUGCUAAGUGGCCAUUUCAGCCGAACUCCGUCGAUAUGCUCUGAAGGCCCCUCAGCCCUUCGUUAUGAAAUGGGCACGAAUGAGCACGAAACGACAACUAGAUGAAGGGAUUCCCGGGUAUCGAAGGGAAGCUGGUUCCCAGAGUGGGGAGGCCACGCCGUGGGCAGCUUAUCAUGGCGUCACCCCUGACGUCAGCCACCUGCACACCUUUGGCUGCCUGGCCUACGUCCGCAUCCCAGCCAGCCAGCAGGAUAAGCUCGGUCCCCGCGCGAAGGCGGGAACCUACCUUGGACCGGAGCGCAACACGGCCGCCCACUGUGUCCUUGUUGACGGCAAGGUGACUGUUAGCAGUGACGUCACCUUCGAUGAUGACCACCGCGGCCCGGCAUCUCAACGGGCAGGCACCCCCUUCGGCACCAGCCCCGCCCGUCCUGGCGGCAGCGACCCCGUCGGCGGCUCAACACAGCCUGCCACACCGCCAACUCAAGUGGAUGCCCUGCCCCCAGUGAACCCAGCGCCCCCCUCCGCCCUAACACUCGCAGUCAACGGCAACCGCUGCACCCACCGCUGGCCCCGGUCAGCCUGGCCAACAACAGCAGCUGUGGCGGCGGAGAUUUGGGUAGUCCACCGCUGCUUAACAAAGCGUCGGGUAGCACCGAUCGCGCUGAGUUUAACGUGCCCGACGGCAGUGCCAACGGCGGACACAAUAGUGCUGCGCAGGAGCUUAACAUGCCCGACGGCAGUGCGGACAGCGGAGGCCACAGCGCGGUGCAGGAGCCGCGCAAAUAUGAGGAAGCGGUGGCGAGUCCGCAAGCUGACAAGUGGAAGAGUUCGAUGGAUGACGAGAUCCUGUCGCAGCUCUCCAACAAAACAUGGGAGUCAGUGGUGCCUUGAUGGACAGAGGCAGGUUCGAUGCCUUGAUUGUGGCCUGCAAGCAAGUCAGUGCUUCAUGAGUGUGUAGUGACACGUUGUGCUGCUGUUAGGGGCCUUACCCGGCAGAACCUCUCAUUGAAGUUGUGUUGGACAACUUCAUCCAUGACUUUAACAACCUCUGCAACAAAAUCCCGGUCCCAGGCACCCCGCUGCUUGCAUCCCUUGGCGAGUAUGUCAUCCUUGCUCUUCUUGCUUGAUUUUAAGUUUGCACUUCUCUCUCCUGGGAAGCUGUGGGGUUCCAAGGGAAGAAGGAACAAGGCAAUUCCCAGGUUGUCAUGCUUAUGCUUUUAAGGGCCACAACAGCAGCUUUAAACCAGCCAUCUUGGCAAAAAAGAAAAGAAAAUUCAGUGCAUUUCAGUUAGAAAGGGCUAAGCAGAUUGAAGUCGGCUGCUGGCUGGGAAUCACAUUUAAAUGCCAUUGUUGACGGCAGGUCAACGAACACACCUGUUCCCGUGGGAAGCUCCUUCACACCGAAUGUGUCAUAGAAUAUGACAUGUUGCAGAAGACAAUCCUCUGUCAGGGCACCCGCAAGGGCUUUUGAUACUUCGUCGCCAUUGGAGGUGAGGACCGAGUUCAUUAUCAGGGUCCGCUGGGCUGCAAAGUGCUGGAGGUAACCGACAGGCUUCAACGUGACAUUGGCCCGUCUAAUUAGAAGUGCGGAAUGCUGCACCGCCGACAUUCUGAGCAAGCUCGCGGUCAAAGGAAAGUCGAUGACUUUGGCUGUCGUCUGUUUGGUCAAAGAGUAUAAGUAUAUUAAGUAAGAAUUACAUGUAUUUGGCACAGUUAAG
rnacentral:lncRNA from 1 species